rnacentral:rRNA from 1 species
GACGAACGCUGGCGGCGUGCCUAAUACAUGCAAGUCGAACGCAUUUUCUUUCACCGUAGCUUGCUACACCGAAAGAAAAUGAGUGGCGAACGGGUGAGUAACACGUGGGUAACCUGCCCAUCAGCGGGGGAUAACACUUGGAAACAGGUGCUAAUACCGCAUAAUUCCAUUUACCGCAUGGUAGAUGGAUGAAAGGCGCUUUUGCGUCACUGAUGGAUGGACCCGCGGUGCAUUAGCUAGUUGGUGGGGUAACGGCCUACCAAGGCUGCGAUGCAUAGCCGACCUGAGAGGGUGAUCGGCCACACUGGGACUGAGACACGGCCCAGACUCCUACGGGAGGCAGCAGUAGGGAAUCUUCGGCAAUGGACACAAGUCUGACCGAGCAACGCCGCGGGAGUGAAGAAGGUUUUCGGAUCGUAAAACUCUGUUGUUAGAGAAGAACAAGGAUGAGAGUGGAAAGUUCAUCCCUUGACGGUAUCUAACCAGAAAGCCACGGCUAACUACGUG